GAGGUGUGACGAAAUUUUUACGUUUAACAAACUGAAGAAAGUUUACAUAUUUCAUUAUUAAAAAUACAAGCAGCUCUUGAAAGCUUGAAUGCAAUUCUGGGAGACAGUUAAUAACUUUAUAAUUAUGUGAAAAUAGCCAGCUUCCUAUUGUUACUGUUCACCAUUAUUUGUUCUCAGUAACACAGUUGUUCCUGGUCAAAAAUAGAAAAGGUUUCGACGGUUGUUAAUCCUCAGCAUGCAGCAAAUUUGACACUAAUGCAUGAGAUGGGUAUCAUUUCAGUUAAAAACCUCUGUUUUUAACAAGGACCAUAAUAUUGACAGGUCAAUACGGUUUUCCAAU
rnacentral:misc_RNA from 1 species